GUUGCCAGCAUUCAGUUGGGCACUCUAAGGUGACUGCCGGCUAAAAGUCGGAGGAAGGUGGGGAGUGACGUCAAAUCAUCAUGCCCCUUAUGACCUGGGCUACACACGUGCUACAAUGGGCGGUACAAAGGGUCGCGAACCCGCAGGGGAGCCAAUCCCAAAAAGCCGCUCUCAGUUCGGAUUGCAGGCUGCAACUCGCCUGCAUGAAGCCGGAAUCGCUAGUAAUCGCGGAUCAGCAUGCCGCGGUGAAUACGUUCCCGGGCCUU
rnacentral:rRNA from 1 species